GGGUUGGGGCUCAGCGGUUCAGCACUCACCUCCCACGGGCGAGGCCCUGGGUUCAAUCCUCAGCACCACA
rnacentral:tRNA from 1 species